AGAUUGAACGCUGGCGGCAGGCCUAACACAUGCAAGUCGAGCGGUUGAAGAUAGCUUGCUAUCUGAUGCAGCGGCGGACGGGUGAGUAAUGCAUGGGAAUCUGCCUGGUAGUGGGGGACAACGUUUCGAAAGGAACGCUAAUACCGCAUACGCCCUACGGGAGAAAGGGGGGGAUCUUCGGACCUCCCGCUAUCAGAUGAGCCCAUGUCAGAUUAGCUAGUUGGUGGGGUAAAGGCUCACCAAGGCGACGAUCUGUAACUGGUCUGAGAGGAUGAUCAGUCACACUGGAACUGAGACACGGUCCAGACUCCUACGGGAGGCAGCAGCGAGGAAUUUUCCGCAAUGGGCGAAAGCCUGACGGAGCAAUGCCGCGUGGGGGAAGAAGGCCUUCGGGUUGUAAACCCCUGUUGCGAGGGAAGAAGAUCUGACGAUACCUCGCGAGGAAGCCACGGCUAACUACGUGCCAGCAGCCGCGGUAAUACGUAGGAUGCGAGCGUUGUCCGGAAUUAUUGGGCGUAAAGAGAACGUAGGCGGUUUCUUAAGUUUGGGCUUAAAGACUGGGGCUCAACCCCAGGAGCGGCUCGAAAACUGAGAGACUAGAGGAUGGCAGAGGAAAGUGGAAUUCCCAGUGUAGCGGUGAAAUGCGUAGAUAUUGGGAGGAACACCAGUGGCGAAAGCGACUUUCUGGGCCAUUCCUGACGCUGAGGUUCGAAAGCUCGGGGAGCAAACAGGAUUAGAUACCCUGGUAGUCCGAGCCGUAAACGAUGGAUACUAAGUGUCGAGGGUAUCAACUCCCUCGGUGCUGUAGCUAACGCGUUAAGUAUCCCGCCUGGGGAGUACGGUCGCAAGGCUA
rnacentral:rRNA from 1 species